rnacentral:rRNA from 1 species
UGAUCAUGGCUCAGAUUGAACGCUGGCGGCAGGCCUAACACAUGCAAGUCGAGCGGUAGCGGGAAGAGCUUGCUCUUUGCCGACGAGCGGCGGACGGGUGCGUAACACGUAGGAAUCUGCCCGGUAGUGGGGGAUAGCCCGGAGAAAUCCGGAUUAAUACCGCAUACGCCCUAAGGGGGAAAGCAGGGGAUCUUCGGACCUUGCGCUAUCGGAUGAGCCUGCGUCGGAUUAGCUUGUUGGUGGGGUAAAGGCCUACCAAGGCGACGAUCCGUAGCUGGUCUGAGAGGAUGAUCAGCCACACUGGGACUGAGACACGGCCCAGACUCCUACGGGAGGCAGCA